UUGAGAGGGAAAUUCAGCUCGGAUCUAAUGCAUGUACAUGAAUUCAUGAUCAUCUAGCCCUAUAAAUCACUUGGAUAGGAACUACAUUAACACGUACUCAAGCAUGGAAGGCUAACGGGUCAAGAUGAGGCAAGGAAGCGGCUACGAACACGGAUGCACAAGGUUACACGGUCUAUCGUCGGUUUAAAGCAUUGGAGGAUUGAAGAUCGAGUCAAGGGCAAAAAUUGUACGGGAAGAGUAGUCACGUAGCUCAAACGCGUAUAUGUAAUUGAUGUGAAAAUUCAGAACGAACGAUGUAAACCCUUUAAUUAACUUUAAAAAUUUCUAGUAACGAACCCCAAGUAUGA